GGCGGCGUGCUUAACACAUGCAAGUCGAACGGUGAAGGAGAAGCUUGCUUCUUUGGAUCAGUGGCGAACGGGUGAGUAACACGUGAGUAACCUGCCCCAGACUCUGGGAUAAGCACUGGAAACGGUGUCUAAUACCGGAUACGAGCUUCAGCCGCAUGGCUAGGAGCUGGAAAGAAUUUCGGUCUGGGAUGGACUCGCGGCCUAUCAGCUAGUUGGUGAGGUAAUGGCUCACCAAGGCGACGACGGGUAGCCGGCCUGAGAGGGUGACCGGCCACACUGGGACUGAGACACGGCCCAGACUCCUACGGGAGGCAGCAGUGGGGAAUAUUGCACAAUGGGCGCAAGCCUGAUGCAGCAACGCCGCGUGAGGGACGACGGCCUUCGGGUUGUAAACCUCUUUUAGUAGGGAAGAAGCGAAAGUGACGGUACCUGCAGAAAAAGCAC
rnacentral:rRNA from 1 species